rnacentral:misc_RNA from 1 species
AACCUAGCACACCUGCGGUGUGUACCUGCGGAAGGAUCAUUACCGAGUUUACAACUCCCAAACCCCUGUGAACAUACCACUUGUUGCCUCGGCGGAUCAGCCCGCUCCCGGUAAAACGGGACGGCCCGCCAGAGGACCCCUAAACUCUGUUUCUAUAUGUAACUUCUGAGUAAAACCAUAAAUAAAUCAAAACUUUCAGCAACGGAUCU